rnacentral:rRNA from 1 species
UACGAAGGGGGGCUAGCGUUGCUCGGAAUCACUGGGCGUAAAGGGUGCGUAGGCGGGUCUUUUAAGUCAGGGGUGAAAUCCUGGAGCUCAACUCCAGAACUGCCUUUGAUACUGAGGAUCUUGAGUACGGGAGAGGUGAGUGGAACUGCGAGUGUAGAGGUGAAAUUCGUAGAUAUUCGCAAGAACACCAGUGGCGAAGGCGGCUCACUGGCCCGAUACCUGACGCUGAGGCACGAAAGCGUGGGGAG